CUCUUUGAAAAUUAAAUCAAAGUAGUCUCUGCUCAGUGAAAUUUUAAAUAGCCGCAGUAUCUUGACUGUGCUAAGGUAGCAUAGUAAUUUGUCCUAUAAUUGAGGGCUGGAAUGAAAGAGUUGACGAGGUUUUAGCUUUCUUAAUAAAAUUAAAUAGAACUUGAUAUCUGCUUCAAAAAGAGCAGCUCUCUGAGGGGACGAUAAGACCCUAUAAAACUUUACCAAUUAUCUUUAUGUAAAAUAAAGAAUAUAUACAAGGGAAGUUGGUUGAGCUGGGGCGGUAAUUAAAAUUCUUUAACAGAAAAAACAAAAUUUUUGAAAUUUUAGAUCUUAAUAAAAGAAAUAGAACAAGUUACUUUAGGGAUAACAGCACAAUUCUUUCAUAUAGACCUUAUAGAAGGAAGAGACUUGUGACCUCGAUGUUGAAUUGAGGGGCUUUCUCCGAGCAGCAGCGGAGAACAGGAGUCUGUUCGACUUUUAUUUCCUC
rnacentral:rRNA from 1 species